GACGGAGGGGGCUAGCGUUGUUCGGAAUCACUGGGCGUAAAGGGCGCGUAGGCGGCCAAGCAAGUCAGAUGUGAAAUCCCGGGGCUUAACCCCGGAACUGCAUUUGAAACUGCAUGGCUUGAGUCUCGGAGAGGAUGGUGGAAUUCCUAGUGUAGAGGUGAAAUUCGUAGAUAUUAGGAGGAACACCGAUGGCGAAGGCAGCCAUCUGGAGCGAGUACUGACGCUGAGGCGCGAAAGCGUGGGGAGCAAACAGG
rnacentral:rRNA from 1 species